rnacentral:ncRNA from 1 species
AAAGGGUUCUCGAAAAACUGAAAUCAAAGAAUAAUGAUAUAAAAUGAAAAUUUGAAAAUUAAUCUUGGACAGAUGGGGUCAUUCAUAUUGCGAAGCUAGAGGUAAAAUUCUUGGACUGUCGCACGAUGAACCACUGCGAAAGCAUAUGCCAAGAAUGCUUCCAUUAAUCAAGAACGAAAGUUAGAGGUUCGAAGGCGAUCAGAUACUAUCCUAGUUUAGGGGGGUUCUGCGCAGGUUGGCAUCCAUGUUGGUUGAUGAAGUUAGUGCU